AAGUUGGCGUGCUCCACUUGAUCCAGAGCUGCUUUUGAGUUUGCGAUGCCUAUAAAGACUACAGUCGCAAGCAUGGGUCAGAAGGCUAUGAAGAUGUUAAAAAGAGAGAUAAGUUAUACUAUGGAUUCAGACCCUUCGGAGAUCAUGGGUUCUAUUGAGGAGGAUCCAUAUGAGCCAUCCAUUCGAGUUGUUUCGACCACUCCGGCAGCAGAUGGGUGAGAGGAGUUCUGACCUCACCAAGGCCCUUAGUUUCACAGCUCGUUGAUCAGGGUAUGAGGGGAGUAGUGCAUGGAUUGGCACAGUCGGGAUUCCCUCAGGCUCAAAACUAUGUCAAGGUAUUUGAGGACACCAGCUCUUCUGAGGUUCCGGAUAGUCCACGAUCUUGGGAGUCUGUCAAUCAAGGUUCGUCAGUGUAUGUUAUGGGAUACGCAGAGGAAGAAGAUAGUAGUUGGGACAAGAGGAGGAAGGUAACUAACAAGGACAUGAAUAUUCCGCAUUGAAGUGUGUCCGAUCGAGGUUCUUAUAUAGGACGAGGCAAGGACCCUCUAUUAUAGACUUUCUCCAAGUGUCAGUUUUUGGUUGAUGAGUUCCACCACUUCUUGAAAUGUUACCAAGUCAGGGUUCUAAUUAUGUUUGGUUGUUUUAUGAGGAUGUUGGGAGCCUCAUCCCGACUUGUAUAUAUUAUGGCUAUGCCUACUUAGAGGUUUUGCAGACACUAUCUUGUAUAUAGUUUUGGGUAUGAUAUGCCUACGACUUAGUCGACCCGCAUGUAUAUAAACCCUUUUUUUCUAAAUUAGUUAUGCAAGUUAAGUCUUAAUAUUA